GGCAGCACUUUAUUACCAAGGAAAUUACUACACAUUAGGUGUGACCCCAACUGAAGCCCAAAUAAAAGACAAUGUGGAGUGGUUGUCGGCAUUUCAUGGAGACUCAACAGGUUUGAGCACAGAUAGUUUGGCAGAUGCUGGGUACCCUGGGGCAGCGUCGCUUGGUGAUACUGUUUGUGGGAUGGCUGCUGCUUAUAUCACUAAGAUAGAUUUCUUAUUCUUGUUUCGGUCUCACACUGCUAAGGAGAUCAAAUGGGGUGGUGCAAAGCAUCAUCCAGGGGACAAGGAUGAUGGGCAGAGGAUGCAUCCACGAUCUUCAUUCAAGGCAUUUUUGGAAGUGGUAAAGAGCCGGAGUUUACCAUGGGAGAAUGCAGAAAUGGAUGCUAUUCACUCUUUGCAGCUCAUUCUUCGUGACUCUUUUAGAGAUGCUGAAGCAACUAAUUCCAAGGCUGUUGCAAAUUCCCAACCGGGGGAUCUGGAGUUUCAAGGGAUGGAUGAACUCAACUCGGUCUCAAUAGAAAUGGUUAGGUUAAUAGAGACUGCAACUGCUCCAAUAUUUGCUGUAGAUGCUGAUGGCUGCAUAAAUGGGUGGAAUGCAAAAGUUGCUGAGUUG
rnacentral:misc_RNA from 1 species